GAUGAACGCUGGCGGCGUGCCUAAUACAUGCAAGUCGAGCGAACAGACGAGGAGCUUGCUCCUCUGACGUUAUCGGCGGACGGGUGAGUAACACGUGGAUAACCUACCUAUAAGACUGGGAUAACUUCUGGAAACCGGAGCUAAUACCGGAUAAUAUAUUGAACCGCAUGGUUCAAUAGUGAAUGACGGUUUUGCUGUCACUUAUAGAUGGAUCCGCGCCGCAUUAGCUAGUUGGUAAGGUAACGGCUUACCAAGGCGACGAUGCGUAGCCGACCUGAGAGGGUGAUCGGCCACACUGGAACUGAGACACGGUCCAGACUCCUACGGGAGGCAGCAGUAGGGAAUCUUCCGCAAAGGGCGAAAGCCUGACGGAGCAACGCCGCGUGAGUGAUGAAGGUCUUCGGAUCGUAAAACUCUGUUAUUAGGGAAGAACAAAUGUGUAAGUAACUAUGCACGUCUUGACGGUACCUAAUCAGAAAGCCACGGCUAACUACGUG
rnacentral:rRNA from 1 species